rnacentral:snoRNA from 1 species
GCCGAUGAUGAUCUCUCCAAGUAUUGAGAUGUAGAUAGCUCCAAGUCCCUGUCUUACAGGGAGAACCUACUUGGAGUUACUAUAUUCAAAUGACAUAAAUGGACUUAUCUGAGAU